rnacentral:rRNA from 1 species
AUGAACGCUGGCGGCGUGCCUAAUACAUGCAAGUCGCGCGAACGGACGAGAAGCUUGCUUCUCUGAUGUUAGCGGCGGACGGGUGAGUAACACGUGGAUAACCUACCUAUAAGACUGGGAUAACUUCGGGAAACCGGAGCUAAUACCGGAUAAUAUUUUGAACCGCAUGGUUCAAAAGUAAAAGACGGUCUUGCUGUCACUUAUAGAUGGAUCCGCGCUGCAUUAGCUAGUUGGUAAGGUAACGGCUUACCAAGGCAACGAUGCAUAGCCGACCUGAGAGGGUGAUCGGCCACACUGGAACUGAGACACGGUCCAGACUCCUACGGGAGGCAGCAGUAGGGAAUCUUCCGCAAUGGGCGAAAGCCUGACGGAGCAACGCCGCGUGAGUGAUGAAGGUCUUCGGAUCGUAAAACUCUGUUAUUAGGGAAGAACAUAUGUGUAAGUAACUGUGCACAUCUUGACGGUACCUAAUCAGAAAGCCACGGCUAACUACGUGC